rnacentral:rRNA from 1 species
AUGCACGCUGGCGGCGUGCCUAAUACCUGCCAGUCGAGCGAACAGACGAGGAGCUUGCUCCUCUGAUGUUAGCGGCGGACGGGUGAGUAACACGUGGAUAACCUACCUAUAAGACUGGGAUAACUUCGGGAAACCGGAGCUAAUACCGGAUAACAUGUUGAACCGCAUGGUUCAACAGUGAAAGACGGUCUUGCUGUCACUUAUAGCUGGAUCCGCGCCGCAUUAGCUAGUUGGUAAGGUAACGGCUUUCCAAGGCAACGAUGCGUAGCCGACCUGAGAGGGUGAUCGGCCACACUGGAACUGAGACACGGUCCAGACUCCUACGGGAGGCAGCAGUAGGGAAUCUUCCGCAAUGGGCGAAAGCCUGACGGAGCAACGCCGCGUGAGUGAAGAAGGUCUUCGGAUCGUAAAACUCUGUUAUUAGGGAAGAACAAAUGUGUAAGUAACUAUGCACGUCUUGACGGUACCUAAUCAGAAAGCCACGGCUAACUACGUG